ACCGCCCGUGGGAGAGAAGAUUCGUGAGUAGUGCUACAGUCUACAAAACUCCAGCCGGUAAAUUCCAUGGCGAUUCUGACUCUAACUUGUGAUGCGCUGCGCUGUAGGGAGGAUCGUAAAGGGUCACAUUGUCCUGACUGUGUGCAUUGGCUUCAUCGUCGCCGUAGCCGUCGCCGUGCUGGUGGUGGUGAGAAGAAAGGCCGGGAAUACAGAAGCACCAGGUAUGUACCCCCUCUGUCCCCAGUGCUAUGUUUUGGCCUCGUUGUUGGGAAAUUGGCCUAAUUGUUGAGAAAUAUACAUCUGCAAUAUUAACACAUCUGUUUUAUCUCCAGCGGCGGAAGGGAAGCCAUGAUCUGACCGGGAUAAUACUAAGAAGGAAGAAGGCCAAACAAAGGCAAGGGUGGCGUUACCAACCUCCUGCAGGGGCACACAUACGCUAGUUAGGGUGGUGUUACGUACUGUUACGUUGAUCUGUUGUAUGCAUUUGGAUGUUUUUUUUUGUCAUCAUAUGCAUUUGGAUGCUUGGUACUUACUAUUGCUCUGUUCCAUGAUCUUCCACUAAUCUUGUUUAUGAUAGCGGCCCGACCUUGUGAAAAACUAAUGUUGAUCUUUUUUAGAUCUUUUACAGAUGUUGAUCUCUUCAAUGUACUCCUUUCAUAAAAAAUAUAGGAGAUCACUGCUUACCUAGCUAGCUUUCAGCCAUAAUUCUGUUC
rnacentral:lncRNA from 1 species